rnacentral:rRNA from 1 species
GAUGAACGCUGGCGGCGUGCCUAACACAUGCAAGUCGAGCGGCAGCGAAGGGUGCUUGCACCCUGUCGGCGAGCGGCGGACGGCUGAGUAACGCGUGGGAACGUGCCCCAAAGUGAGGAAUAACUGCCCGAAAGGGUAGCUAAUACCGCAUAUUAUCUUCGGAUCAAAGGAUUUAUCCGCUUUGGGAGCGGCCCGCGUCGGAUUAGGUAGUUGGUGAGGUAAUGGCUCACCAAGCCGACGAUCCGUAGCUGGUCUGAGAGGAUGACCAGCCAGACUGGAACUGAGACACGGUCCAGACUCCUACGGGAGGCAGCAGUGAGGAAUCUUCCACAAUGGGCGAAAGCCUGAUGGAGCAACGCCGCGUGCAGGACGAAGGCCCUCGGGUUGUAAACUGCUUUUAUAAGUGAGGAAUAUGACGGUAACUUAUGAAUAAGGAUCGGCUAACUACGUGCCAGCAGCCGCGGUCAUACGUAGGAUCCGAGCGUUAUCCGGAGUGACUGGGCGUAAAGAGUUGCGUAGGCGGUUGUAUAAGUGAAUAGUGAAAUCUGGUGGCUCAACCAUACAGGCUAUUAUUCAAACUGUACAACUCGAGAGUGGUAGAGGUCACUGGAAUUUCUUGUGUAGGAGUGAAAUCCGUAGAUAUAAGAAGGAACACCGAUGGCGUAGGCAGGUGACUGGACCAUUUCUGACGCUAAGGCACGAAAGCGUGGGGAGCGAACCGGAUUAGAUACCCGGGUAGUCCACGCCGUAAACGAUGGAUACUGGCUGUUGGAGGUAUCGACCCCUUCAGUAGCGAAGCUAACGCGUUAAGUAUCCCGCCUGUGGAGUACAGCCGCAAGGCUAAAACAUAAAGGAAUUGACGGGGACCCGCACAAGCGGUGGAUCGUGUUCUUUAAUUCGAUGCUAAACGAAGAACCUUACCAGGGCUUGACAUCCAGGGAAUUUUUGGGAAACCAAUUAGUGCCUUUUGGAACCCUGUGACAGGUGAUGCAUGGCCGUCGUCAGCUCGUGUCGUGAGAUGUUUGGUUAAGUCCAUCAACGAGCGCAACCCUUGCAACUAGUUGGAUUUUUCUAGUUGGACUGCUUCGGUAACGGAGA